rnacentral:snRNA from 1 species
AGCUCCAUACUGUUUCCUGA